CUGUUCCCAUACCGAACACAGAAGUUAAGCCUCUUAGCGCCGAUGGUACUCGGGUGGCAACGCCCCGGGAGAGUAGGAAGUUGCCGGGC
rnacentral:rRNA from 1 species